AGGGAUUUCAGACUGUUUUGGAAUUAGUCCUAAAGCAUAAGAAGCUUUGCAUCUUCUGGAAAACAUAUUAUGACUUUAAAAACCCUGUCAUUGGACGAUAUCUGACUGAGCAACUCAAGAAACCCAGGCCUGUGAUUCUGGACCCGGCUGACCCUACAGGCAACGUUGGUGGUGGAGACACAUACAGCUGGCAGCAGCUGGUAGAAGGGGCACUAAUCUGGCUGAAUUAUCCGUGCUUUUUGAAAUGGAACAGGUCACCGGUGGGAUCCUGGAAUGUGUCGGUGAGACCUUCCGCUUCUUCUCCAUUGUCCUCCCCCACCCCCACACAGCUCGGGGUGCGUAGAUGGGGACCAUUCUCUCCAAAGAAAUUGCCUCUUGCUAGAGGUCCCUCAUAUUCAUAGAGUUUCAGGCUGUGCUCUCUCUUUUACAGCCAUUUUGGCCCCAUUCAGAGGGUUCCUGGAUUUCUCACAUCCCUUAUCCAGAAUUCGUUCUUUAAGGAAUGCCUUCUUGGCCAGUACUAACAUUUUUAAUAGCUCCAGUUGGCUCAUUCCACUGAGAAGAAAAACAAACAAUAACAACCACCACUUAAUGAAUACCUGCUUUGGACUCAGGUUCUGUUCUAAGCCUCUUAAAAUGCAUUGUUUCAUGAAAUCCUCAGCACACCCUAUGAGAUGUGUCCUCUCCUCCCAUCUAACAGAUGAGAAAAGGAAGCUCAGAGAGGUGAAGUCAGGAGUUCCCGUCAUGGUGCAGUGGUUAACAAAUCCGACUAGGAACCAUGAGGUUGCGGGUUUGAUCCCUGGCCUUGCUCAGCGGGUUAAGGAUUCGGCAUUGCCGUGAGCUGUGGUGUAGGUUGCAGAUGCAGCUCGGAUCCCGCGUUGCUGUGGCUCUGGCGUGGGCCGGUGGCUACAGCUCCGAUUAGACCCCUAGCCUGGGAACCUCCAUAUGCUGUGGGAGCAGCCCUAGAAAAGGCAAAAAGACCAAAAAAAAAAUAAAAGAGAGAGAGAGAGAGGUGAAGUCACCUGCUCAAGGCCACUCAGCUGGAGUGGGUGAUCUAGGAUUCCAACUCGGUGGACUCCAAGCCAGUGCUUAUUCCACUGAGCUAACCAGCCUGCUUGGCAUCCUCCUCCCCCAAAAUCAUGUGACAAACAAGGGACUCGGUGCAGCUGAGGUCCUGGGCAUGUCACACAGCUACCUAGGGGCAGAGAGCUCCCUCUUUCCACCCCAGGAAUAGGGUGUCUUGCGCAUGCCGGGGUCAGAAGUAUUGAUGAUGUCAUAGGUGGGUUUCCUAGGAAACAGAGUCUGGGGUGAAGCUCAGUGUUCAGGAUGUCUUGGGGGCAGAGCAGUGGAACUGACCCCCUGUGUAAAGGAGGGUUGCAAGGGGAGAGGCACAGCUGGGAUGAAGCCCCCGCCGAGCUCAGCCCACCCCACUGGGGAGCCCUUGAGCUCCAACAGCCUUCAGAGUUGUCCUGAAGGACCCGACUUCCUUGUCCUGAGUGGCCAGGUCUUCAUCGCCCCACAUGGAUUAGCCACUGAAUGUGGACAACUCAGGAGAGGGUGUGGCCUUCCUCAUGGGGGGCCCAGGUGGCAUGUCACAGUGUCCACCAUAAAUGUUCACUGGGACCAAAGCCACGGUGGGAGGGCUGGCUCAUCAAUGUGAUCAUGUGCUUUCCCUUUCAGCCUGAGGCCAAGGCCCCUCCACAGGAGGAAGAUAUCUCGACGUGCACCAGAGCAUCUUAAGAGUGAGGUCCCUGGAGCCGCCUGGACCAGCCCCCUCAUCCCUAGGGUCGGGGCCCGGAGCCUUCAUCCCUAGAGGGCCAUGAGUUGGUGUCAGACCUGGCACCAGAAUCCAGGUCUUUGACCCCCUUGCUGCUAUUCCGUGCUCUGUCUCCUUUCACAGAGAGUAUUUCCCCAUAGGCCUCUCCCCACCAGAGAGGAGAGGUCUCUAAGCCACAACAGGAAAGACUUAGACAAGAGUGGAACCCCAGCCUGGACUUUCUUCUGUGUACCUGGUGGAGAGUUAUGGUCCAAAGUAUCGUCAUUACAAUAAAAAUAGGAGUUCCUCUUGUGGUUCGGUGGUAAUGAAUCUGACUAGUAUCCAUGAGGACCAGGGUUCACUCCCUGGCCUCACUCAGUGGGUUAAGGAUCCAGCGUUGCCAUGAGCUGUGGUGUAGGUUGCAGACACGGCUAGGAUCUGGCAUGGCUGUGGCUGUGGCUGUGGUGUAGGCCGGCAGCUGCAGUUCCAAUUUGACCUCUAGCCUGGGAACUUACAUAUGCCACAUGUGGGGCCCUAAAAAGACAAAAAAUAAUAAUAAAAUAUAACAUAAUACAAUAUAAUAUAAUAAAAAUAGUAUCAAAUAC
rnacentral:lncRNA from 1 species